UAAGAACGCAUGGAGAUCUGGUAAUAUUGAAGAUCAUACUACAAACUUAUAAACAAUCUCUUGAUAAGAAUGAUGAGUAUUUUGUUCGUGACAACAAAUAAUAUUGGAUAUAGUCGAUGAUGAAGAUUUAAACCUAAGGUACGUGUUAUUUCAGCGAUAAGCAUCCAUCAUAUUAAUGAAUAUAAGGCCUCGUUAAAUGACAGCAAAUUCUAUUUAUGUUUGAGACCAUUUUGGCAUACCAAAUGGUAAUUUAUUAUUAUGUUACGAUAUGUUAAUCAAGUUGAAAUUGUUUCUCUUAUUGAGUUUUAUAAGAAUAUAACGGCGGUGGGGCUCUCCAAGUUCAAUCCCUUUCAUCAUUUGUAUAUAUAAGUAUAACCACUGGAUUUUGAUGCAUUCUUCAACAAGGUGAGAUCAUAGCAUUUGUAUAUAUUUUUCUCGUCUGUUUUGAAGCUCAGUCUAACUUCUUUUGCACAAAUAGUAGUUAGUUAAAGGAAACGUUAAUUGCUUGGUAUAAAUUAAACCCACUGAUGCUAUUUGAUUUUAAUUCGAGUUUGGUUCUGCUUUAUAUGAUUGAUAUUUUGUUUUAUUUUAACUUAAUCAAUAAUCUAUUACUGUCUUUGAACCGCCUCACUGAAUUUGAAUGAGUUGAAGGUCAAAUUGUUGGUUAGUCAAUAUGUAUCCAUUGAAAUGUCUGACGAGAUGAUAUUAAUAUUGUUUGGUUUAGUGUUCUCAGAAUUGAGCGUUUUAAUUUCUUAUUUCCCUAACUUUCUCUAUAUAACUAAAUUCAGCUCAAAAUGCUUCAAGUACCACAAUUACUUGGGGAGCAGUUUGUUGAUGGAUUACGGAAGGAUGUUUGACCGCGUCAACUUCUAGAUGGUGAUAUUAUUAACAGUUUGAUGGAUAGAGAGUAUUUGAUACUCUGGUCAGACCUGCAGGAAAUAUUUUCUUUGAGUCGAGUUAGUACAUUAUUAAGUUUAUGUACUCCAUUUUAAUUAGGUAAAUCUUAAGGAUUUGGAUUUAAUAUGUAUGAAUGGUGGUGGAUGAUUUAUUGUAAUGAUGGAUUGUACGGGAACCUUUAUUGUAAUUUCAGUCAAUUGUAAUAUAUGGAU
rnacentral:lncRNA from 1 species